ensembl:snRNA U6 U6 spliceosomal RNA
GUGCUCACUCUGGCCGCACAAAAACUGGAAUGGUAAAGAGAAAAUUAGCAUGGCUCCUUACUCAAGGGUGCUACACAAAUGUGUGAAGCACUCCAUUUUUUU